ensembl:lncRNA novel transcript
CCACACUCUAUUCAAAAUGGAGUCACUCUUGUUCAAAUGCCUCUGACAAAAGCGGUGUGACAAGCCUGGGAUUCCCAUAGUGAUCAUGCUGGUAGGAGUGAGGUGUUAUUAUUUAGAAACACUAUUGCACCCGCUAAGGAUAUGCAUGGAUAAGGCAGCUGGAGAACAAAUACAAAAAUCUUAAUUAAAAGACCGUUUUGUGAGGUCUUCAACUUCUUCUCCAUUUCACCAACACGCUGCACAGUCUGUGUAUUCAGCGUCACCAAAGAGAUUUUUAAUUCAUCAGCCUGGUUUUUGUGGAUUGUUCGUUGCCUUCUCAGUGCUGUAACACAUAGAGACACUGGUACAGGCAUUAGGAAGGAUGGGAGAAGAUACCAAAUGGUAUAAGACAUGGUCUGGUAUUUCCAGGGAUAGGAUCAUCCAUUUAGGAAAACAGCUACAUAGAGACAUGC